GCCGCCUUUGUCACCGAGGCCACCCGAAAUUUGGGGACCCCCCCUGGAGCACCCUCGGGACCCCAAUCCUGGGAACCCAAAAUUUUGGCCUGGUUGGAGACGGUGAAUCGGAAGCUGCAGGAAAGCAGCGAAAAGGAGGGGGGGGGGACAGCCCCGAAUUUGGGGGUCCCCGAGAGCUCCACGGCACCCCCGGGAUGCAGCCACAAGUGUCCCACCCGCUGGUACUGGAAGUUGGUGCCCCACGCCAUCGCCUUCUGUUUGAAGGAAUCGGGGAAUAAACCUCCGGUGAUUCGGUACCGGAAGGACAAGGGAGCUCCUCCGGCGCCUCCCCCAUUCCCACCUGUGAGGGGCCUGCAGGAUUUGGCCAGUGGGGGCGUCCUGGCGGCCGCCAUCCACUUCUAC